rnacentral:rRNA from 1 species
GUAGGUGGCAAGCGUUGUCCGGAAUUAUUGGGCGUAAAGCGCGCGCAGGCGGUUCUUUAAGUCUGAUGUGAAAGCCCACGGCUCAACCGUGGAGGGUCAUUGGAAACUGGAGAACUUGAGUACAGAAGAGGAAAGCGGAAUUCCACGUGUAGCGGUGAAAUGCGUAGAGAUGUGGAGGAACACCAGUGGCGAAGGCGGCUUUCUGGUCUGUAACUGACGCUGAGGCGCGAAAGCGUGGGGAGCAAACAGGGAUUAGAUACCCUGGUAGUCCACGCCGUAAACGAUGAGUGCUAAGCGUUAGGGGGUUUCCGCCCCCUUAGUGCUGCAGCUAACGCAUUAAGCACCCCCGCCUGGGGGAGUACGGCCGCAAGGCUG